UGCGCAGGUGGGGAUGUAAGUCAGUGGUGCAAUGUUGCCGCUCAACGGUAAAAUUGCCAUUGAUACUGCAUCUCUUGAGUAUGGUUGAGGUAGGCGGAAUGUGUUGUGUAGCGGUGAAAUGCAUAGAUAUGAUACAGAACACCGAUUGCGAAGGCAGCUUACUAAGACAUUACUGACGCUGAGGCACGAAAGCGUGGGGAGCGAACAGGAUUAGAUACCCUGGUAGUCC
rnacentral:rRNA from 1 species